UUCCUACGGGACGCAGCAGUGGGGAAUAUUGCACAAUGGGGGGAACCCUGAUGCAGCGACGCCGCGUGAAGGAAGAAGUAUUUCGGUAUGUAAACUUCUAUCAGCAGGGAAGAAAAAGGACGGUACCUGAGUAAGAAGCACCGGCUAAAUACGUGCCAGCAGCCGCGGUAAUACGUAUGGUGCAAGCGUUAUCCGGAUUUACUGGGUGUAAAGGGAGCGCAGGCGGUGCGGCAAGUCUGAUGUGAAAGCCCGGGGCUCAACCCCGGGACUGCAUUGGAAACUACCGAACUCGAGUGUCGGAGAGG
rnacentral:rRNA from 1 species